CUCCGCCCCUUCCAUCUUCCCUGUGCCAGCUCUGGGCUGUUCGCAACUCCAUGGGCACAGAGUCACUGGCCAAAUUCAUGCAGCCAAGCACGCAGGUUUACACAUCUUCAGCACUAGUGCAAGGAACCAGACAUUAAAACGCGCACACGCAAAUAUGUGUGUGUGCAUAUACAUGUAAAUGUGUGUGUGUGUGUGAAUGCGAAAGUUCCUCUUGUCACCUACAGCAAAGGGCCGGCUUUAUUCACAAAACUAAUCACUCGGGAAAUAAACGAGAUUUGCAAAGUAUUCUACCGAAUAAAUAACAAAACGAGGAUUAGCUUUAUAAUAUUCGAUGGCGUACACGCGAGCCCAGAUGGUGCAGAUGGAGAAUAAAACAUACCUACAUUUGAAUAUAAUUCUACAUUAAAAUCAGAAAUCUAGUCCAUGAAUUUCUCACACUAUCGGGCAAAAACAACAGUUCGUGGGGAUUGCUGAGACUUUCUGUGCGUACGUAGUUUUUUUUAAAAUAUACGUUUAUUUUGUAAAUAUAAGUGUCCUCGGCUAUCUGUUUUGUGGGACAUUACCUGUUAACCACAGAUGUGUUGUCUUCGGUUACUUAUCAGUGAAUAUUUCACAAGAUUUACAAUGCAUCAAGCGAAUCUAUAAUGCAAAGUGAAAAUACUAAUCCUAUUAUUUUUCUACCCUUUGUGCCGCUCUUCUAUGCAGUGUACUAAUUCGAGAGCGGAUUAAUAAUUGAGCUUCAUGCUUUCUCGUUUUUCAAUGGGUUUCCAGGUAUUUUAGUAGCAGGUAUUUGAGUUGAAUGGAAAUCGUAGUUAAAAAUUGUAAUGCAGUUUCUCAUUUCGAAGCAGAUAUGCAUUCUGAGAUGAGAGUUUUCAAGUGACCUUUGUAAGAUUUUGCACCUGUAUCGAUCGCUUUAUUUUUUUUAAGUAAUAAGGUUUCAAAGCACAUUAUGUAUUAAAGGAAAAAUGAUUGUAUGUUAAUUAUGUUGCCCAUGGUAAUACUUGAAUGAUUUCAUUAAAGGUGAUAGCUGGAACUCUGAUAAAUCAAUAACAAAAUAAAACAUUUUUUUUGCUAAACCUCCCCAUCGAUGUCGAUUUAAAACAAAAAUCUGCACAACAAACAAAAAAAAGUGUACUUUGCAAUUAGUAAGUCAUAAAUAAGGAGAGAUUUAUCGCUAAUACAUGGCAUUGGAAUUCGGAGAAAUAUCGAUCAGGGCAGAUGGCUAAGACCAUCUUGUGUUGUACUAUGCAUUGAUGUAACGGGAAGCUUAAACUGUAGAAGAUUUGAGGGUCGCCUUUGAUUCAUUGUUUCCGUGAAGUCUGAGAACUGUACAUCACCACCACCACCAUCUUCCACACCAACCCCCGCCCCCAGCCCCAAAAUGUAACGUGGUGUAUGUGGUGGUGUUUUUUUUAAUUGAGUAUAGACGUUUUUAGCUGGAGGCUGUGGACGCGAAUAUGGCCAACACAACAGUUCAGACAGCAGAAGUGAAAUUGAACUCAUUUGUGAUCAAUGGUGGGAUGUGUUAACAGAGACUUCGCCAUUUUUUUGUUUUCACUAGAUGUGACAAGUGGUUGAAGGGGUUAUCUAUUUUUACUCUGACGCUCAACGAUCAGAUACGACCUGCGGUUGCAGCUGCACUGUCCCUCUUUCAGGAGGAAGUUAGGUUACUUUAAGUCAUGCCUUUUAAACUAUAUGGUUUAGUGACUCCUAACCCGGAGUAGAUGGCACUUCUAUUAAAACAAUAAAAGUACAUUUCACAUCUGCAAGGAUUCCAAAUUACUGUAGGUUAUGUUGUUUUGAACGUGCGGUUUUCUGCAGGAAAGGGUUCUGUAAAUUUAUGGGGAAAGAGUGCAAAGAGUCGCAGAACUGCAUGGGAGCCAAGUUCCUUCCAACGGACCUCCCCCACUUCUAAUGCAAAAUGAUUUCUGAUCUAAUCUGCAUCUGGGAGCUGGCUGCUAACCUGGUCAGCUUUUAUCUGCCAUUUUACCCAGUAGUCACUGAACUGAGCUGGCUGAUCCAUUUAUUGGCGAGACCCAGCCAAACUAAAACGUAGUCCUGGGUUCUUCACUCGUUCGUGAUUAAAAACUAUUGGCGCGGCCAAAUAAAAGUUACUUUAAGUGUCUGCAACGUUCGCCCACUUAAACUCCGACCCAGCAGCACAAUGGUCCCCAUAAAAACGAUCGAAUGACUGGAGAAGGGAAGGGGCGGUUGCACGCAUUCAGCUGCGAAUUGUGGACAAGUCGGUAACGAAAGAGUUAAUUCUAUCUUUUGAUUAGCUCACUAACAAUAACUUUAUGCCAUGCAUCCAAUGACUGGCGCUGUGUAUUCAAAGUCGGCUGAUUUGUUUAAUAAAUGUGCCGAGCGUGUAUCUGCGUGUGUCUUUUUUUUUCCAAAGAAGUGUUUGGCUACUCGUAUUUUUUAAUGCAUCUAAUAAUUAUUUUAGCAUUCAGAGCAGCGUCGAACCGUUUCACUUGUGACUCCUUUUAUUCGCAGAAACCCCUAUGGGUGCCUCCGAGCAAAGCAAGUCAACGAUCUAUCACGCAGCCGAUUCAAUAGCAGGCUGAGCUAACCUUGACCUCUACCUAGACCUCGCUCCAUCUGGUGCCAGGGUGUUUUUCAUAAUGUUGAUGCCUCGCAGUCAAAAUUGAUCAACGCGGAAUCGACCGCCUGACCUCCUCAAGGAGCGUUGCGAGAUACGAUACGCUUUAUUGAAAAGGUCCGUUGCUGUACCCAUUGAAAAUAAAGGCGAACUUGGCAGUG